GACGAACGCUGGCGGCGUGCCUAACACAUGCAAGUCGAGCGGAGGCGACAGCAAUGUUGCCUUAGCGGCGGACGGGUGAGUAACGCGUGGGCAACCUGCCUCUAUCCGGGGGAUAACAUUGGGAAACCGGUGCUAAUACCGCAUAACAUCGAAGGGCCGCAUGGUCUUUCGAUCAAAGGAGUGAUCCGGAAAGAGAUGGGCCCGCGUCCGAUUAGAUAGUUGGUGGGGUAACGGCCUACCAAGUCAGCGAUCGGUAGCCGGACUGAGAGGUUGAUCGGCCACAUUGGGACUGAGAUACGGCCCAGACUCCUACGGGGGGCAGCAGUGGGGAAUAUUGCACAAUGGGGGAAACCCUGAUGCAGCAACGCCGCGUGAAGGAUGAAGGUUUUCGGAUUGUAAACUUCUUUGACCGGGGACGAAACAAAUGACGGUACCCGGAAAACAAGCCACGGCUAACUACGUGCCAGCAGCCGCGGUAAUACGUAGGUGGCGAGCGUUGUCCGGAAUUACUGGGUGUAAAGGGCGUGUAGGCGGGCCUGCAAGUCAGAUGUGAAAUUCCGGGGCUUAACCCCGGCGCUGCAUUUGAAACUGCGGGUCUUGAGUAUCGGAGAGGGAAGUGGAAUUCCUAGUGUAGCGGUGAAAUGCGUAGAUAUUAGGAGGAACACCAGUGGCGAAGGCGACUUUCUGGACGGUAACUGACGCUGAGGCGCGAAAGCGUGGGGAGCAAACAGGAUUAGAUACCCUGGUAGUCCACGCCGUAAACGAUGGAUACUAGGUGUGGGGGGUAUCGACCCCCCCCGUGCCGCAGCAAACGCAAUAAGUAUCCCACCUGGGGAGUACGGCCGCAAGGUUGA
rnacentral:rRNA from 1 species